rnacentral:rRNA from 1 species
UACGAAGGGGGCUAGCGUUGCUCGGAAUGAGUGGGCGUAAAGGGCGCGUAGGCGGCCUGGACAGUCGGAUGUGAAAUUCCUGGGCUCAACCUGGGGGCUGCAUCCGAGACGUUUGGGCUGGAGUGAGGAAGAGGGUCGUGGAAUUCCCAGUGUAGAGGUGAAAUUCGUAGAUAUUGGGAAGAACACCGGUGGCGAAGGCGGCGACCUGGUCCUUUACUGACGCUGAGGCGCGAAAGCGUGGGGAGCAAACAGG